UUAUUAUUAUUUUUAUUUAUUUAUUUAUUUUUGUAAAAAAUUAUUUUUAUUUUUAUUUUUUUUUCGUUAUUUUUUUUUUCGUUAUUAUAUUUUUUUCGUUAUCUUUUUUUUUUCGUUUUUUUUUUUUAAUUUUUUUUUUAAAGUUUCUUGGAUCUAAUUCUGAUUGACAUGAUGAAAUGCAAUAUGAAAUGCUAAAUGAAUGCAUGAAUGAGGAGGGAAA
rnacentral:lncRNA from 1 species